rnacentral:rRNA from 1 species
GUCCACGCCGUAAACGAUGGGCACUAGGUGUGGGAGGUGUCGACUCCUCCCGUGCCGGAGCUAACGCAUUAAGUGCCCCGCCUGGGGAGUACGGCCGCAAGGCUAAAACUCAAAGGAAUUGACGGGGCCCGCACAAGCAGCGGAGCAUGUGGUUUAAUUCGACGCAACGCGAAGAACCUUACCUGGGUUUGACAUGUUCCUGACCGCCCUGGAAACAGGGUUUCCCUAGGGGCAGGAUCACAGGUGGUGCAUGGCUGUCGU